rnacentral:rRNA from 1 species
CUGCCUGCCCGGUGACUUAAUUGUUUAACGGCCGCGGUAUUUUAACCGUGCUAAGGUAGCGCAAUCACUUGUUCCUUAAAUAGGGACCUGUAUGAAUGGCAAGACGAGGGCUAGACUGUCUCUUUUUUCUAGUCAAUGAAAUUGAUCUCCCCGUGCAGAAGCGGGGGUUCACACAUAAGACGAGAAGACCCUAUGGAGCUUUAGACGUAAGAGGCAGCCCUUGUUUAAACCCCUUAAACAAAAGACUAAACCAAUAGGACCCUCCUCACAUGUCUUCGGUUGGGGUGACCGCGGGGACAAAAAUAACCCCCAUGUGGACCAAGAAGAUUAACUUCUUAGACCUAAGAGCCACUGCUCAAACCCACAGAACUUCUGACCUAAGGAUCCGGCGAAGCCGAUCAACGAACCAAGUUACCCUAGGGAUAACAGCGCAAUCCCCUUCUAGAGGCCAUAUCGACAAGGGGGUUUACGACCUCGAUGUUGGAUCAGGACAUCCUAAUGGUGCAGCCGCUAUUAAGGGUUCGUUUGUUCAACGAUUAAAGUCCU